rnacentral:lncRNA from 1 species
GAUUUUGCUAGGUUUUGCCCAUAGGGAAGUAGCAAGAAAUCAAGUCAAAUGCCUUCUUUUUUUCUCUAUUUUCGUUAAAUAGAAAGAUGAUAUUUAGUCCUAUUUUGCUUCAAAAAAGCCGGGAAAUUGCAAGGCAUUGUCCUAUUUGAUUUUCGAAAUGAACAUUGAUCAGUUCUAGUUUGAGUUUCUGGUCCGGAGAAAUACGGGUCUAUUCUUUAUUUCCCUCCACGAAGGACUAGUCUGAAAUCUCCCAUAUUCACCUCUUUCUUUUUCAUUCCCAUUUUGAGCUUCUUUCAUUAUCGUUAAUGAGCUUCUUUUCUUGACUUUUCACAGGUGCCAUAAGGGAUAUUCUUGAGAAGCGAAGCGCAUUCAAAGGAGAGGUGCAUAUUGGGAAGGCGAUCAGAAGAUUGAGAAUAUUGCGUGACAUCUGUGGAAUGAGUUCCGACUAGAAACUGAAAGUCAAGCUGAUGAUCUCAACUGCGUAAACGUAGUCAACUUUUUGAUGGAUGCCUUCUAUCCUUGAUUCCGAGACUAAGGAGUCAGAAUCGUUAUGAAACCGAGUAAACUAGCACUAGGUCUCACACCUCUCCCGGAACUGAGACUUGAACGUCUCGCCUUUCGCCUUUCUCCCUCACUCAGUCCGAGCGGCCGGCUUAGCAUCUCAACUUUGAACAUUCAGUCUCCUUCCUCUUUCUCGUCGAGCGAGUUCUUCUACUGUCAAAACUUCUUCGGUCCUUUUCCUUUGAAAGAGCUUGUGCCUCUGACUGGAAGAGUUACCACUCAUAGCGGCUUAGCUUCUAUUUUGUAGAAAUCCUUCUUGGGAAAGCAAACCUAUCCCGCUACGUGGGCAACAAAGGAAGUAAAGAGGUCCCGCCCCUUCUCUCCUUAGCACAGCAAGCACGAACAUAGGCUCGGCAGAGAGAGAGCUAGAAGCCGAUCGACCGAGUCAACUCUUUUCAUUGGGAUUCUUUAGUUAGGGGAAUAUUUCUUAUUGGGAUUAUAUCGUGAAUUGGGGAUUUCUCCCGGACACAUCUAAAGACUGAAGCAUCAGAGACUGAAGCCGAUACAGGAAGCGCCGAAAGAGAGAAUACAGCUCCCCCUAGUUAGGAGAUUUUGGAUAGCUCUGCGGUCAGUCCUUCGGACCAGAUGAGUCAGAAAGAUUUCCUUAAGGACUGAUUUAUGGAAUUUCAUUCUUAUGGCUCGCGUAGGAGCAGUCCACUCCAUAAAAGUCAAUGGAAGGAAGAAGAAGAAGAUAAGACUGCGGUGAAGAUGAACGGAAAAUCUUCUAAUGGAUAGGACUGAGGGCGAGACUGGUCCUCCGGACUUGUUUAAUGGAUAGGUCAACUCAUCUGGAGCUUGAUUUUUCUUUGAUAAAUACUCGCAAUAUUCUUUGCGCCUUUAUUCCACUCAAACUUUCUUCUAUGUUACCAACAAGAUAUAAGUCGAGAAUCAAGCUCUUCGGAUUCUUUUGGACUCAGCACUCCCUCCCGCUCCCUCAAAUUCUUUCUCAAUCUUCUUUGAGCCUUAUUUUACAGAUAAAUGCGCUUCCCUUCGCGCCCUUUGUUCAUUGAUCCUUAUUAACACUCUACAUGCUCCAGUCCCUUAUCUUGAGUGUAAUAGUUGUCCAGUGAGAAAUAGUGCAGCGCCUGGCCUGCACUGCCCACGUUGUGCAGGCUGAUCACUGGCGCACCUCACUCAUCCUGGAAGACUGCGUCUACGCAAUAAUGCAUUGAAGAACUCUAUUUGCUAACCGAUCUUCAUCUCCGUUAUAGGCUUCUAUGGAUGCCUGAAUCAUCUCUUCCCGGCCAGUCUCGCUCCAAUCGAUCCUAUGGCCAGCUACUUGGGCCAAUUGCCAGAUAAACUCGCGUUGUGUGCGACCCUUACCCUCACGGAAUGGAUGCAAAAGGUUGAUUUCGAACGAUUGGGAGAUAAACAAAGGUCCAAAAAAGAAAAGGUCCAGAUGACUUUAUCAAGCUUAUUAAGUGCUUUCGUCUUAUUUAUUUUGAGGUUUACACGCUGACUGAAAAGAAGCGCAUCCAAUCCUUGCAAGUCUCGCUCCUGAGGGAGCUGGUAGAAGAGCUUCCGGGCCGCGCUCUCAAUCGUCAUUUGACGGGCAAAGGACUCGACCAGCGGCAGAGGAUCAAGGGCGAGACUUCCCCAGGAUGGAGGAAUCCAUCUUGAGUCAGAGGUAUAGCUUUCUCCUCUUUCAUGAGUUUCAUAGUCAGAAGAAAGCCACUCUUUUGAUCGUUUAGAAAGAGUAUUCAAUUACUAUGCGGUUCAAAGGAAUAACUAGAAAAAGAGGAAGAGGAACCCCCACUACGCGGUGCGGAAGCUGCCCACUACGCGGUUGAGUCCCACGCUUUUUCAGUGAGAAAUCAGUCGAUGAAAUUGAGAAGGGACUUAAUAGGCUGAAUUCAAUAUGAGUCGACUGAGUAGAAAUAGAAAAGUCCAAGACCUAGUUCACGAAGUCGAGAUCAGAAGCUCGACCCACUACGCGGUUAGGAAGGAGAGAGAGAGAGAAUUCCUCAUAUGCUCUCCCGAGUGGAAAGGUUUCCUCCCUAGAUAGGAUAAUUGAGUAACCCGAGGCUCAUAGGGAUUUUUUCAAGCGAGAACUAUCUAUCUACGAUUGGGAAGACCGGCCUCGUCUCAUUCAUCAAUCGGAAUUCAGAGGCGGACCUAGUUUAGAUCGCAAUAAAUGCGAGAACCGUAGACCAGAUUGAGUAGUGCUCUUUCCCUUCGUUGGGUAGAAAAGAGAGAGGGGCUAGGCAGAGGAUCAGCCGCUAAGAAAAGGACCAGAAUCCCGAAAAAGAAAGAUUGCCACUACGCGGUGAGGACUAGCCUCGCGAAGAGCUAGAAGACUGAGUAGACUGAUCCUGGAAGAGUGAGGAAAGACGGGUAGAGAAGUAUUUAUGCGUAAAUACGGGUAAGAGAGGGCUAGGCCCCACCCUUGCGCCAUUAAUAAGUACUCUUUUUUCACUGAAAUAGGAAUGAGGUAAGAGAGAGGCUAGGCCCUUACCCUUAAGAGCGCAGGAUAAGCCGCUCGUAUUCAGUCUACGAAUACUUAGAGGUUCAAAGACUCCCAAUCCGUGACCCAGAAGACAGAAAGAACUCCUUUUGACUUGACUAAAGAUGAACCGAAAAUCUCCACUGUCUUUUUUUUAGUGGAAUCAGACUCAAGAGGAGCGGUCUCGAAAUCUGGGUUAAUAUGGAUAGUCCGGAGGACCUAACGGAGUUGAAUUACGAAUUAGCGGCUCGACUGAGAUGGAGGAGAGGUGCAAAGAAUAUUGCGUCGCCGUAGGUAGGAGUCUUAAGUCCGGAACCCGAGGUCCGAGGUCGUGGUCCACUAUUUGAGACUAAAAGGGUACAUCCGCUCAAGGUCCCAGUUUCGAGCAAAUAAAGAGGAUCUGGUCCCAGUAGAAGGAGUGGCUGGAAAAGGGAAGUUGGGAUCCGCCGUCAAUUAUCCGAAGUUCAGUGGACGGUAGGCUGAAAUGGUGAGUUGCGCCUACAUUAAUUACCUACUUUGACCGCAGAGUGGGAGCCUACUAAGUCUUUCUGAUGCGCCCUAUUUUUCAUGCCCUAAGAUUGGAUUCGUUUGGACUGUUCGGAGUCAAAGAGAAUGAAGAAAGACCUUACUUACGCUCAUCGAUCCAAUUCGGAAACAAAGGCAGAGUGCCGGGUAAAGAGUUCCCGUCUUUCAAGAAGUUAGGGAUCUCCGCCCCGAGGUUGGGAGUUUUUGUCCUGAUGGAUAAUACAGUGCAUCCAUUUUCUUUCAUCCUCCCUUAUCGUUCAUAUCAACAAAGAUAUUUCAUAGCUUUCAGAACCGCUACGUGGGUAUCGAGGUGGAUAAGGCGCGAACAGCAGCCAAAGAACCUACGUUCCCAACAGCAGCAUGGGAAUGCCCCGGCCGCCUAAGACAACGAGGGGGACCCCCAGGCCAGAUCAGUGGCAUCCGCUGAAAGGGCAGUUGGUAGCCGUCCUUCGUCUUCUUUAUUAACCCGUAAAAUCUUGCUUAGUUGCAGACGUUAGGAGCAAAGAAUAUUGCGAGAACCUCCGGACUAUCCAUUAGAAUUAGACAUAUUCAUAUUUUCAAAAAAAAAGGCUCAAAGAAAGGUGCAGUUGAGGAGCAAAGAAUAUUGCCUUCCACAUAUUAAGCUGCGACUGAGGCGCAAUGAAAUAUGCGAUUGAGAAGAACAAGAACUGAAAGGGCAACCAGCACUGUACGAACCACCGCCUCAAUGAACAAGGCUACAAGACCUAGAACUCACUCGAUCGGCAACUUCCCUUUCUCGAAUUCCUGGAGCAAGAAAUGAAAGGGGAGACUGAAAGAGAGCCAGCGUGCUUGCCUCCCUCCGACUGAAAAAAGAAGAGUGCUUGAGGCUAAACCUUCUCGUUAUGAUAGAUCCAACAAUGCUGGUUGGUGUUGGGGAGUUUGGGAGUUUCUUUCUCCUGUCUGAACUUCCUUCCUUAGACCUAGAGGUCUAGCUAUCCUACUCGUUCAUUCAUUGUACAAUAGUAAGAAUCUGCCGCUUUUAAGCUAAGCAACUCCGACUAUCUUCAUGCUACGGGGACUCAAACAUAUACUUCCCAUUCAAGGGGCUAGAGCGAGCGUAAACCCUUUCUUAUCUGACUGUGCCUGCUUACAGUGCUUGGUCGAGUUUGUGCCGACUUUCUUCCCCUGACGCAACUCUCUACUUAUACUGAUUAUUGACCUUCCCCCGUGGUGGGAUCGACCAUUUGUCUUUUCAUUCAUCCUUGAAAUUCAGUAAUUAAGCCUUUCAUGAAUGAGAGAUAGAUCGAACCACGGGAGCGGACUAGUGGCGGAAUGGUGAAUGACAAAUGCUACCGCCAUAAGAAUGGGACCUCUUCUCCUAAACUAAACGUCUCGCAACUUUCUUCUACCCCACUCCUAGGUUCAUCAGGCGCCCAAUGGUUGAACUUGGUAUCGUAGACCUUCCUUCCUAUACCCCUUUCUUCUUCUUCUCUUUUCUUAAGGAAGGGGUUGCUUCGUUCAUCGCCUAAGGCUGAUUUCUGAAAAUCAAGGAUUAACGCCCGUGCAAACUCAGUGGUUAUUGAACCUAAAAUUGGACUAGAUUGAUGAGUUUGAUCCUUUCUAGUCAAGGUGGUACGCGUUUGCACUCCAUUUUCUGAAUCUUUUGUCAUUGCGCAUGAGGUACUGUAAGCAUAUGCUUCACACGUCCCGAUCGGGAAAUCGGUAAGUAAAUGAAUGGGUCUUGCCCUAUUAAAGAGAGCCCUAAACUGAGAAUGAAUCUUUGACCUCUUGGCCUUCCCCCCCACUUGCUGCAACCCAGGAUGAAACCCACUUUCAGUCCAUUUUUCACAUCUUAACCGAGGGGACGUGGUCAGGCCACUAUGGAGGUUCGAAGAAAGGAGACGUAGUUUACGAAGUUGAGAAGAGCUAAGCUCGAUAGAGUUGUAGAGUGAGAGGUUCAACUCCUCCCGUCCCAGCCUUAGAAUGAAAGAGAUAUCUAGCUUCCGGCGCUUCCGUCCUCCCUCUCCUUUCAGUCGAGCUAUUUCAUCCCUCUCCUUUCAGUCGAGCUAUUUCAUCCCUCUCCUUUCAGUCGAGCUAUUUCAUCCCUCUCCUUUCAGUCGAGCUAUUUCAUCCCUCUCCUAACCGCUCCGUGGGAGCAAGUCUGAUUCCACUAAAAGGACUUCCUAUGGUCGAGUAACUUCUUCCGUAUUCAAAGUGAGUCCGUCUCGUCUUUGUCAAGUGACUUGGGAUCCAUUUACUGAAUUAUGUGCAAUCCCCCAUAGAAAUCCGCUUAUCAUUUAAGAACGAGCAAUUGCCUCAUGGGGCAAGAGGGCUAGCUAGGUUCAUGAAUUAGAUCUUUCGUCACUUCCUCUUAGCCAUAUUCACCCUUGGGAAACCCCGCUUCACGUCUUAUUUAUGAUGGAUGAGCUUUUUCCCGUUCUUGGAUGAAAGCCUAAACAGCAAAAUGGCAGGUAGAAGAAAAGGGGAGGACAGUCACACCAAUCGUCGGCUUGAUUAGAGUCUUGUCUUUCUUACCGCGGAGUGGGGCAGAGAGAUUCUUGCUAGUUUCACCGGCAGCGACUGUUAAGGAGCGCUAACCCUUCGGAUAAAUCCUCCGGGGCCACUGUCCCAUUACUUUUUUCGAAUAAAUUACCUUUAUCUAUUCUUAUCUAUCCUAUGAGUAAAGUGAAAGAGAGUUUCUACAGCGUAGAAGGCAUCAAAAUUCAAUUCUUCCUUUAACACUCAAAAUAGCGGGAUUUCUCUUUCGGAAUAUUUCUCGGCCGUAGUAGGAGCAUUCCUUUGAUUUAGUAGGGUUUCAGACGACGGAGUCUGACCUUGCGACUCCCAAUUUCUGACUUUCCCUUUGGAUGAGAAAUAGUCUUUGAACUCGUUUUCAUUCUCGGCGUCUCCGUUGUUUAGUAGAAUGCGAGACCAUAGGCGUAUUGAUCAUUCAAAGAAGAUUUCGAAGGCAGGCUCAAAGCAAAGAAUGAUCGAAUAAUAUUAAUAUUGAUCGGGGCAUCAUAAUCCGUGGUUCUUGAAUGAAAUGGAUAGGGAGCCAAGGCUAAAAGCCUAAAUCAAGAAUGGGCGAAAGGGAGUUCCCCCUGUCUUUCCCCUGUGAGACCAGUUUCAUCCGUGGCAGCAGUUGCUUCUUUAUUAAGUCGCGCUGACUAUGCAUCAUUAUAGAGCGAGGCAAAUGGCCUUUCUUCAAACCUUUGAUUGUGACAGAGAAAAAGAGAAAGAAGGCAUUCUGUCGGACGAGAAAGAACCGCAUCAAGGGCUAGAACAAGGACGUAAGUAAGGGCACCAAGCACUAUUCUUAUUUGGAUCGGGUAUCCAUUCUAUAUGAGGGUAGACCGAGUUGGGGCGAGCUCCACUGAGUGAAUUGGGAUCAGGUCGUCGGAUUAUGAGUGUUGAAGUAAUGGAAUGAAUAUGCGCUAACCCUAGAAAACGAGAUCGACUAGGACUAUUAGUUUGCGCGAACAGGGGACGAGAUGAAAGAGGGUCGGAGGGGUUUCAGGGCAGGUGGGAAUUAGUGGAAGAAAUCACAGACUAAAACGAUCUAAAAACUCCCAUCAAGCAUCAUGAAAAUUCUUUGAACCUCGUUCAUUGAUAGUAAUCCUUACCAGUUAGGCGCCUGACGAUCCGCCCGAACAUAAGCACUGAAGAAAGAGGAGCAAGAUAGGUGGCUUCCUCCGCCCCGAAAAAAAGAGUGAGCCACUACGCGGUAGGCCCUCUCCUUCAUAAACUGACUCGGUCAUCUUCGAUCCUUCUCUUCAUCCUAUGUGCUGGGUGGACCCUAGUGUACGAGCAGCCUCUUCCUGCGAUCCUAAGAGUGAGUACGUCUUCUUGACUUUCCAAUGUGAGAUGGAGAAUGGGCAUUCUCAUUAAUGAUAUAUGAGUAAGCUUGUUCUUUCCACUUCUACUUCCCUUGAAGCGGAUGCCUCUGCCCGUAGGUCUGAACCUUUCUUGCACUUGCGCUCCCUCCGACGGAGCAAAGUUCAUUGAGGCGG